UACGUAGGGUGCAAGCGUUGUCCGGAAUUAUUGGGCGUAAAGAGCUCGUAGGCGGUCUGUCGCGUCUGCUGUGAAAACUCAGGGCUUAACCCUGAGCUUGCAGUGGGUACGGGCAGACUAGAGUGUUGCAGGGGAGACUGGAAUUCCUGGUGUAGCGGUGAAAUGCGCAGAUAUCAGGAGGAACACCGGUGGCGAAGGCGGGUCUCUGGGCAACAACGUGACGC
rnacentral:rRNA from 1 species